UACGUAGGGUGCGAGCGUUAAUCGGAAUUACUGGGCGUAAAGCGUGCGCAGGCGGUUCGCCAAGUCAGGUGUGAAAUCCCCGGGCUUAACCUGGGAAUUGCGCUCGAAACUACGUGGCUGGAGUGUGGCAGAGGAAGGUGGAAUUCCAGGUGUAGCGGUGAAAUGCGUAGAGAUCUGGAGGAAUACCGAUGGCGAAGGCAGCCUUCUGGGCCAACACUGACGCUCAUGCACGAAAGCGUGGGGAGCAAACAGG
rnacentral:rRNA from 1 species